rnacentral:rRNA from 1 species
UACAGAGGUCCCAAGCGUUGUUCGGAUUCAUUGGGCGUAAAGGGUGCGUAGGUGGCGCUGUAAGUGGGGUGUGAAAUUUCGGAGCUUAACUCCGAAACUGCAUUCCAUACUGCGGUGCUUGAGGAGCUGGAGAGGAGACUGGAAUUUACGGUGUAGCAGUGAAAUGCGUAGAGAUCGUAAGGAAGACCAGUGGCGAAGGCGGGUCUCUGGACAGUUCCUGACACUGAGGCACGAAGGCCAGGGGAGCAAACGGG